rnacentral:rRNA from 1 species
AUCUAUGGCCAUACCACCCUAAAUGUACCCGAUCUCACCUGAUCUCGCAAGCUAAGCAGGAUCAGUCCUGGUUAGUACUUGGAUGGGAGCCUGCCUGGGAAUACUAGGUUGCUGUAGCCU